rnacentral:rRNA from 1 species
UAAGGGCGCACGGUGGAUGCCUUGGCACUAGAAGCCGAUGAAGGACGUUACUAACGACGAUAUGCUUUGGGGAGCUGUAAGUAAGCUUUGAUCCAGAGAUUUCCGAAUGGGGAAACCCAGCAUGAGUUAUGUCAUGUUAUCGAUAUGUGAAUACAUAGCAUAUCAGAAGGCACACCCGGAGAACUGAAACAUCUUAGUACCCGGAGGAAGAGAAAGAAAAUUCGAUUCCCUUAGUAGCGGCGAGCGAAACGGGAAGAGCCCAAACCAACAAGCUUGCUUGUUGGGGUUGUAGGACACUCUAUACGGAGUUACAAAGGACGACAUUAGACGAAUCAUCUGGAAAGAUGAAUCAAAGAAGGUAAUAAUCCUGUAGUCGAAAAUGUUGUCUCUCUUGAGUGGAUCCUGAGUACGACGGAGCACGUGAAAUUCCGUCGGAAUCUGGGAGGACCAUCUCCUAAGGCUAAAUACUCUCUAGUGACCGAUAGUGAACCAGUACCGUGAGGGAAAGGUGAAAAGCACCCCGGGAGGGGAGUGAAAUAGAACCUGAAACCGUGUGCUUACAAGUAGUCAGAGCCCGUUAAUGGGUGAUGGCGUGCCUUUUGUAGAAUGAACCGGCGAGUUACGAUUUGAUGCAAGGUUA